CCCACUAGAUGGCAACACUCUUAGUUGGGUCAUUGGUUUGGAGAAGUACAAGAAGAAGAUGGAAAAUGCCAACAAAACAGCAGAAGAUAAAGGUCAAAAAACAAAAGUGGAUUUAUGAGUGUUUUCCAGCAUAUGUUUGGAGAAGCGAGACUCGGCUGUCAUCACCUCUCCCAUCACCGAGAUGAUCUCGUGUUCGUCUCUGAAAUCGUAGCCCAUCGGCUCAAACGCAGUCUUGACAACACAGACUUCCUCAAGUUCCUGCUUCAAACUCCUCCAGUCCCUUGUCAUCAUGUUUGUGUGACCGACUGAACUGUCAGCAGUGCUUUUGUCAUUUCUGGAGCUCAGUGGAUAAACACUUAUUUUUAGUGUGAGCAUCUUUUGAGACUGAUGCUUUCUGGGGCAGGUGGAGUCUCGAAUCUCUGGAAAGAAAAGAGAUCAACAUCAUCCCUACGCCCCUGUAGAUGAGCUGAUUUUUAAACUUGGUAAUAAUUAAUAUUAUUACUGUUGAACUGUUAUGGUCUUUAAAGCCAUUGGACUGGUCAGUAACUGGACACAAACUCAAGUCGUGUGGAGAUGCUCUAGGCUCCUGUGGGCCUUUCACCUGUAUCUAAUCAACCUUAGUAGCGUGGCCUAAUGGACGGAUGACACAGGGUUCAGGCUUCACUCUAAGAAGAUCUGAGCUCACAGUCGUGUUCUCCGAGCCAGAUUCAUCCUGCGGGAAGAAAGACACUGCAGUUGCUCUGCAUCUCUGGAGCAUCUACAAGUGGAGAGACAGUAUUUUUAUGGCAAAUGUAAAAUGUAAUUCAAUCAGAAAAUGCCUGACUGAGCAAAAAUUGAUGACACAAGAGGGCAUUUAUGGUAAUGAACCAUGAACAAAAUGUUCAACACAAGAAAGCCACACUUUCAUAUGUUUUAUCUGAUUAUGUGCAUGCAUGUGUGAAUUUGUGAUUUGCAAGAUACAUGGACAAACCAUGACAUCAACCCUAUGCAGAGAGAGCAGAGAAACAGAAGAGGAUGUCAAACAUAUUCAACAUCAAAGCCGAAGGCUCUGAUUUCAAGGGUUGGAAUCAAAGGUGCAAGUCGAAGAGCUGAUGAUGUGAUGAAUAAAAUAUCUCUGUCUGUCUGUCUGCGCAAGCUGUAGUGUUUCUCUGUCUGAUUUAGGUGUGAGACAUUGUUUAUGCUCGUUAUUUAAAGUACUGUGAAAGAUGGAGGAGACGUGAAAAACAGGAGUAAUAUACAUCUGCUUCACCGCUGUGUGUCUUUGAUUACAGAGAUCUUCCUGAUUUCCUGGAAUGUUUGAACUAUCUGAAGAGUAAUUUCUCUGACUGUGUCCAUAACUCAACACGUUUGCCGACGGUGAGCUGGAACAGGACUUUCAAUCUGAUUUUCACCUCCCAGAUGCUGAGUGAUGGCUUGGCAUUUGCGUGAGGGCAUUUUCACAGCUCUCGUCCACAUGGCAGCAUCUGCUCGGUGCUGUGCUUCUCAUUCUUUAACACACGCUGAUGGGAGAUUGUCCGAAAGCAGCACAGUCUGACUGUCGUUUGACAUUUAACCGAUGCCAUCGAGAUGGUGAAGCAAUCUCAGCAUUACUACAGUAAGUUGGAGCAUUAUGACUGGUUUUAACAGAAGACGGUGUUUUAUAUGUUCCCCUGUUUGGACGAUCUGUUUGUGUUGGUCAGUGUGUUAAAGGAAAAUGGAUAAAGUCAUUAGGAUUCAGUAAUCUGGAGAAGAAUCUCUGCGUCAUGUUUGUUUCCUU